rnacentral:rRNA from 1 species
UACGGAGGAGGCAAGCGUUGUUCGGAAUUACUGGGCGUAAAGCGCGUGUAGGCGGCUAUGCAAGUCAGAUGUGAAAGCCCCGGGCUUAACUCGGGAAUUGCAUCUGAAACUGCUGGGCUUGAGUUCUGGAGGGGGUAGUGGAAUUCCCAGUGUAGCGGUGAAAUGCGUAGAUAUUGGGAGGAACACCUGCGGCGAAGGCGGCUAGCUGGACAGAAACUGACGCUGGGGCGCGAAAGCUAGGGGAGCGAACGGG